rnacentral:lncRNA from 1 species
UACAAGUUAUAACAAGAUUACAAUAUAUAUCAUCGGAGUUGAUUACAAAAGAAAUUUAUUCAAAAAGAUUACAAUUUGAAUGUAUAAAACAUUUAUAAGUUUUAAAAUACAUGCUAGCUUAAGAGACAAUCCUCGAUAGAGAAGCUAAAGAUGGGAUAUACUUAUAUAAGAAGGCCGAGCCCACCGACACUUAGCACCAUCCACAACAGAACAAAAUUAUAACCUGAAAAACAACAGGGAAUAAAACCCUGAGUAUGGACUUACUCAGCAAGACUUACCCGACUAAAGAAAAGACUCUCAAGGGUAUGCUGGUUUGUUGGGAAUCAAGGUAAAGCUCAUCAAAUUUCAAACACUCGUUUUUGCAGAAAAGCUUACUAGUAGUGGAUGCUUAUGCCAAACUUUUACUUCACAGAUUAAGUACUUUUCCUGAAUCUAGAUUUGCCUAAUCUAGAGCAUUCACUUAUCCUACACUAGCUUCCUUUUAGCAACUUUAGUUUCACUUGUUAUCUACGAUGCAGGGCAGUGAUCCAGUCUUCAUAUCUGAGAAGUAACGGCGAUCCGAAUCAAUUAAUACUCAGUUGAGGAUCUCCAACCACACGACAUAUGUAUCACUUAACCCUUGCAUAUGUCAACUCGCCCACGGGUUUCUCAAGACCAGAACGGGUCCCCGCCAACCGAGAGCUCAGUACCCCACCAUCCAGCCUCUUGCCAGGUGGAUACACGAUACUCUCGCCAUCUCUCCACUCCCAUUGCGGGCCAGCCUUUCUGAUUUUGGUCCAGCCGAGGCUAAGCUUACCCAUGACGAGGCAUGUGGCCAGUUAAAGGGUCCUAGAUCAGCAAUCCUACUUUCGGUACGAUCCUUAAUCGACACAGACGGGCGACCUUUCCUGUUCAACGUCUGGUCUCAUAUUAUUAUUUCCUUCCCAAAACCAUGUACCUGACAGAGGUACCAUACUUGAAUGAUGAAUUCAUCACUGCAGAUGAUGCUCUCACCAUUACAAGUCCUUUUUCAUAAAACUAACCCAUACCAGUGUUACACAGCAUUCUUUUAAAAAUAAUCAAGUUUUAGUUCUCUAGGCAGGGCUAAGCCUCAUUAGUUCUCUUUAUAAAACAGGUAGCAAGGAGGAUAAUCAAAUUCCAAGGAAUGGUAAUGCAUCAAUUGUUUAUUCACACAACUCCUAUCACCUAAUGCAGCAGGUAAGUGAUAAAAGUUUUUAAAACAGAAGUAGGUGGCAAAUGCACCGGGGCUUGCCUGGGAUAACACUACGUUAGUGUUGUUAGAUGACGUCCACGUGGCGAUCAUCUCACAUCCUGGCGCUUGAUCAGAUCA